GAUGAACGUUGGCGGCGUGGAUUAGGCAUGCAAGUCGAGCGAGAACCGGUUUCGGCCGGGGACAGCGGCGAACGGCGUAGUAAUGCAUCGGAACGUACCCUCUGGUCGGGGAUAGCUACGGGAAACUGUAGGUAAUACCCGAUGAUCUCUGCGGAGCAAAGGUGAGAUUCCGCCGGAGGAGCGGCUGAUGUGAUAUUAGCUAGUUGGUGGGGUAAUGGCCUACCAAGGCGAUGAUGUCUAGGGGGUGUGAGAGCAUGGCCCCGACGACCGGAACUGAGGUACUGUCCGGACACCUACGGGUGGCUGCAGUCGGGAAUCUUCCGCAAUGGACGAAAGUCUGACGGAGCGACGCCGCGUGCGGGAUGAAGGCCCUUGGGUUGUAAACCGCUGUCAGAGGGGAUGAAAUCUUCGGAGGUACUCCUCCGAAGUUGACAGAGCCUCAAAGGAAGCACGGGCUAAGUACGUGCCAGCAGCCGCCGUAAAAC
rnacentral:rRNA from 1 species